CAUUGUGGGUCGAAGGCCUUUUCCUGUGCUGUACAGUUCUAUGUUCUAUCAGAAAAUAUCUCGUCGGGGGGAAAAGGGGAAUGGAGGAAAUAACUGAAGAUGGUUGGGCUUUGGAACCUUUUAUCUCCUGUAGUGGAAGUAAUUCGGCUCUGGGCCUAUACUUGAUUUUUACUUUAUAAUCACAACCACAUUCCUCUGUGCAGAAUGAUUAUAUAAUGGAGACUUUUCAAUCAAGGGGAUUAGGGGUAAAACUUUGGGGCGGUUGGUUUUUGCCCCCCCAUCAAAUUAAGGAAUUUUAAAUUAUGAUUUAAACCUUUCCUAGCCAGUUACCUGUCCGCAACUUUUGAACAAUUGAGGUUUCAUGCAUGGAUAGAUGAUUGUUCUUCUUCUUGCAUUUGGUGCGCACAGCCUAAAGUUGUAGGACAACUUGUUCUAUUUGAUCUUAUUUGAUUGUGCACGCCAGGUUGAUUACAUUCGUCGAAACAGGGCGGACCACGUGAACGUUGCAAUCUCCCAGCCCAUAAACAACCCUCUGACUGAAGAUGCUGCUCUUGAUCACCUU